rnacentral:rRNA from 1 species
CCCUUAGAUGUCCUGGGCCGCACGCGCGUUACACUGAUGCAUUCAACGAGCAUAUAACCUUGGCCGGGAGGCCUGGGUAAUCUUGUUAACAUGCAUCGUGAUAGGGAUAGAUUAUUGCAAUUAUUAAUCUUGAACGAGGAAUUCCUAGUAAUCGCAGUUCAUCAAACUGCAAUGAUUACGUCCCUGCCCUUUGUACACACCGCCCGUCGCACCUACCGAUUGAAUGGUCCGGUGAGGACUCGGGAUUGUGGUUUAGCUCCUUCAUUGGGGCCUGACUGCGAGAACUUGUCCGAACCUUAUCAUUUAGAGGAAGGUGAAGUCGUAACA